CCUACGGGGGGCUGCAGUGGGGAAUAUCGGACAAUGGGGGGAACCCUGAUCCAGCCAUGCCGCGUGUGUGAAGAAGGCCCUCGGGUUGUAAAGCACUUUCAGUGAGGAAGAACGCCUGGUGGUUAAUACCCAUCAGGAAAGACAUCACUCACAGAAGAAGCACCGGCUAACUCCGUGCCAGCAGCCGCGGUAAUACGGAGGGUGCGAGCGUUAAUCGGAAUUACUGGGCGUAAAGCGCGCGUAGGUGGCUUGAUAAGCCGGUUGUGAAAGCCCCGGGCUCAACCUGGGAACGGCAUCCGGAACUGUCAAGCUAGAGUGCAGGAGAGGAAGGUAGAAUUCCCGGUGUAGCGGUGAAAUGCGUAGAGAUCGGGAGGAAUACCAGUGGCGAAGGCGGCCUUCUGGACUGACACUGACACUGAGGUGCGAAAGCGUGGGUAGCAAACAGGAUUAGAUACCCCAGUAGUC
rnacentral:rRNA from 1 species